rnacentral:rRNA from 1 species
CCGUAGUGCAUGAGUGGCGGACGGGUGAGUAACGCGUGGGCGAACCUGGCCUGUACAGGGGGAUAACACUUAGAAAUAGGUGCUAAUACCGCAUAACGGGGGAAGCCGCAUGGCUUUUCCCUGAAAAACUCCGGUGGUACAGGAUGGGCCCGCGUCUGAUUAGCCAGUUGGCGGGGUAACGGCCCACCAAGGCGACGAUCAGUAGCCGGCCUGAGAGGGUGAACGGCCACAUUGGGACUGAGACACGGCCCAAACUCCUACGGGAGGCAGCAG